CAACAUAUGACGACCGGGAAAUAAGGUCAUCGUAAUUAGUGAAAAAAGAAAUAAUAAAAACCUAAAUAUAAAAAACUAACCGUCGUUGUUUAUCUUUUCAUUAGCGCAAUUCCCCUUCAAAGCCCGUCUUUAAUUUCACUUCCCCUUCAACUAAAACCCUCGAUGGCUCGAUUGAACUAGCCUCCAAUUGCGAUUGACCAAUUGCGAUUCUCAAAUUAUACUCGCCUCUAGUACUUAUAAUUCUUGAUGGGAUAAAGGGUUUGAUUUAUCCUCUUUGUUUAAUUGAUUGACGGAAUUGGGUUCAGAUUAAGCUUUCAAAUUCGAAUAUCGAAUCAAUUCCGGUAAGUUCCCUAUUUUCUUUGAUUUGUACAAUUAAUUCAAAGCGAUAGUUGUUGUUAAUUGAACUAAUACUUUAAUUUAAAUUCUUAUUCAAUUGUUAUUGCGGCUUCAAAUUUAUUUAUCAAAAUUCAAGGCAAAAAUAGGUCAUUUGAUCUCAGUUGGGUUAUUGAAUUUCUACUGUCUGAUGUUGUUAUUUAUUGUCUAUUUGCUUGCUCCGUUUAUGCUUUUUUUUUGCUUGUUAACUUUUCCCCCCUUUUGAUAUUGUAACGCCAUAUCAGCCUUCGAAACGCAUGUUAUGACGGCUUGCAGGAAUGCUAAUAUUAAGUAUUUGAAUUAGGAUUUUGUUUGAAUUUCUACUGUCUGAUGUUGUUAUGUUAUGACGGCCUGCAGGCCUGCGAUUAACUCUUCAAGUAAGGAGGAGUUAGGAUUUUGUUUUGAAUGUAAAGGUAGAAUUGAAUUGUUAUCAUCCCUGAUUUACUAUUUUUACUUAUCUGAAUCCAAUUUAAAAUAUGUGAUAGAAUUUGAUCGGAAAGUCCCAUCUAGAAUCCCUUUGUAAUGAUGCUUAUGGAAGAUUGGUGUUGCUUGGUAUGCUGCGUACAUUGAAGCAUUUGGUUCGCAAUGGAAGCUUGUGUCUUUUGUAUAGUAUUGGUAAAAUUCUAGUAUCCUCUGUGCAGUUUGUAAUUCUCUUGCUAUCUUUAUUUAGAUUCUUUUUAUUCUAUAUCUCAAUGCUAGUAUGCAGGACUCCAUUUCUUUGGUCUUCUUCUGAAUCUACAGUUAGUUAACUGAAAAACAGGAUUGCGUUCAACCUAAAACAGGAUUGUGUUCAACCUGUUAAGCUUCUAAAUUCAGCUAGUGCAGACCUUGAGCGAGUAGUAAUUUGAUGGACCUCUUUAAUGUUAUAUAUGCUAGUGCUAGAAAAUCUCUUGUUCCAGAUGCAUAAAACUAAUUUAGGUGUUUGCAGAUGUAGACAAAUUUAGACUGGUUAUUCAUUUACAGAGGCAGUCGCCGCUCCCAGUAGUUUAUUUGGAUUUGAUAUAGAAAACAUAUUCGUACCUGUCACAUUAUCUAGGGAAGGUUAUUCAUUUACUUCACUCUUUUUUAAUUUGCGGUAUCUGUUACAAAUCUCGUCGACCCCUUUUACACGAAUCUUGCUAGCAUUUGAUCAGUAUUUUAUGCAUACCGUAUUUAUCUAAAGUCUAAACAUUACCAUGUUAUUUUCUCGAAACCUAUUGUUUCCUUUCCUACCCUAGAAGUUUGAUUUACAAAUUAAAGAUAGGGGGCGUCUUGGUGAUUCAAGACUCCCUCUUCCGUGCUGCUAUGAUAAUAGAUUCUCGAUGUGUUAGACUAAUCUUAACUUCCACAAUGUAUGUGAAACUGUAUACACAUGAUAUAUGGAGGCUGAAGCUAAAUAAUAUGUUGAAUGACUUUGUACAUGAAAGUGAGUGAAAAAACCAAUGCUAUAGUUGCUUGGUUAAGUAUUAUGUCCCUUAGUGUGAGUAUUGCAGCUUCACUUUUCCCUGCACCUGAAGAGCUAUUUUCAGAAAAAUAAACAUAUAUAGAUGUUAUCUCUCAUCACAUUUCUGAUUCUGAUUUGGUCAUAAACUGAUCCGAAGUUUGAGUUUACUUAUUCUUUUAAGGAAGCUAAUUUGUUACGGAGUAUUUAUGUAACCGAAAUAUAUUUAGCACACAAUUCCUCUACAAUUUACUAAGCUAGUUCUUUUGUUGCUUUUCAUAAAGCAUUAGACCUUGUUAUGACAGGGUUGCAUGUGUUGAUGUAGUGUUUUCGUUCUUUCUGUUGCUAAACCUAGUAAUCUUGCUAUAGUUUUGGAACUGGGAGCUCUAUGUAUUAACUAUAGAGUUUUCAUUCAUAUAUUUGUAUAGUUUUUCCCACACAAGAAAGCAUAAAGGCUUAUACAAGCUUUUAAAAGUUUCAUAUAGUCGUAUGAGUUCUGCUCUUUGUUUUAGUGUCUCAGGCAUGAUGCAGGUUAGAUCUUUGUAGAUUUCUGCUUAGCUGGUCAGCAGGUUCUGCUCAGGUCAACAGACUCCGUGGUACUCGGUCUCUUGCUGGUAUGCAAAGUUGAUGAAGUGUUGUAGUAGCUAGUUUGGGUGUUCAUGGUGGGCUUGUUCUGGUAUGCAGUACAAAGGUUGUUUGGCUGCUGGUUAUGGCUUGUUCUAGUUAAGGUGGAAGUUGGUUAGUUAUCUUAAUAUCAGUUGCAACGCUGCCAGGAUAAGUGUCUUUAAAGACAAGCUAACUUUCCUACAAGAACCUGAUGUUAUAUCUGUUAAUUUUUACGGGUGAAUAUUCCUUGUCACUAACUAAAAUUCUUUACCUGUAAGUGAUAUGAUUUUAUUUUUCUUCUUUUGGGAAGCCCUAGAUAUAACAUAACUAUGACUCAGAUUCUAAUAGUAUCAUCCCUCAAGGACAUUGAAUUUACUGCUCUCUUUUUUAAUCUAUGAUAUCUUUUAAAUAUCUGUGUGAUGCUGGCUUAUCUGAUUUGUGGUUUUGUUAUAGUUGAUGAAAGUUUCAGAAUUGGCACUCUAAAGAGGGAAUGGUUUAUGAAGAACAGGCCAUGCCAACACAUGAGGCACUUGGAAGGUCAACAUAUAUAUGAAAUGGUAUUGUCUUUAAAAGGGCGAGUAAGGGUCAUGCUACAAACACGGGUGGCCAAUAUGGCGAUGUGCCAGAUUCAGAUAAUUUAGAUGCUAUUAGUUCUCAGAGCCCUUUUAGAACUCUACCUUCAUUAUCAUAUCAAUAUGACAAGAUUUCCAAUGACCUACAGUUGAUAAGCUUAAUGAUCUUAAUGCAUUUAAAGAAGUGUUUCUACAACGCUUUUCAAGAGAUGGCACUCCAAGAGAGAACACUUCAACUAGUUAUAUUUUAUUUUGUUCUUUUAGAUUGAAGAAUUACUUAUAUUUUAGUUUUUAAGAAUUAAAGGACGAGGAGAUGUGAUUUUUUGUUUCACAUAACUUGAAAUUCUAUUGUCAAACAUAUUUUGAGUAAUGAAAUAUUCAUUUGUUUA